rnacentral:rRNA from 1 species
CCCUUAGAGUUUGAUCCUGGCUCAGGAUGAACGCUAGCUACAGGCUUAACACAUGCAAGUCGAGGGGAAACGAUAGAGAAAGCUUGCUUUUUCUAGGCGGCGACCGGCGCACGGGUGAGUAACGCGUAUCCAACCUACCCUUGUCCAUCGGAUAACCCGUCGAAAGGCGGCCUAACACGAUAUGCGGUUCACCGCAGGCAUCUAACGUGAACGAAAUGUGAAGGAGAAGGAUGGGGAUGCGUCUGAUUAGCUUGUUGGCGGGGUAACGGCCCACCAAGGCGACGAUCAGUAGGGGUUCUGAGAGGAAGGUCCCCCACAUUGGAACUGAGACACGGUCCAAACUCCUACGGGAGGCAGCAGUGAGGAAUAUUGGUCAAUGGACGAGAGUCUGAACCAGCCAAGUAGCGUGCAGGAUGACGGCCCUAUGGGUUGUAAACUGCUUUUAUAGGGGGAUAAAGUGUGCCACGUGUGGCAUAUUGCAGGUACCCUAUGAAUAAGGACCGGCUAAUUCCGUGCCAGCAGCCGCGGUAAUACGGAAGGUCCAGGCGUUAUCCGGAUUUAUUGGGUUUAAAGGGAGCGUAGGCCGUUUGGUAAGCGUGUUGUGAAAUGUCGGGGCUCAACCUGGGCAUUGCAGCGCGAACUGCCAGACUUGAGUGCGCAGGAAGUAGGCGGAAUUCGUCGUGUAGCGGUGAAAUGCUUAGAUAUGACGAAGAACUCCGAUUGCGAAGGCAGCCUGCUGUAGCGCAACUGACGCUGAAGCUCGAAAGCGUGGGUAUCGAACAGGAUUAGAUACCCUGGUAGUCCACGCGGUAAACGAUGGAUGCUCGCUGUUUGCGUCUGACGUAAGCGGCCAAGCGAAAGCGUUAAGCAUCCCACCUGGGGAGUACGCCGGCAA